UGCUUCUGAUGGUCCUGGGGCUGUUGGUAU
rnacentral:piRNA from 1 species